GACGAACGCUGGCGGCGUGCUUAACACAUGCAAGUCGAACGAGAAAGGGGGCUUCGGCUCCCGAGUAAAGUGGCGCACGGGUGAGUAACGCGUGGGUGACCUACCCUGGAGACUGGGAUAACACUGCGAAAGUGGUGCUAAUACCGGAUACGAUCCUUCAGCGAUGGAGGGUGAAAGUCGGCCUCUCGGCGAAGCCGAUGUUCUGGGAUGGGCUCGCGUCCUAUCAGCUAGUUGGUAGGGUAAUGGCCUACCAAGGCGACGACGGGUAGCUGGUCUGAGAGGAUGAUCAGCCACACUGGCACUGGAACACGGGCCAGACUCCUACGGGAGGCAGCAGUGAGGAAUUUUGCGCAAUGGGGGAAACCCUGACGUAGCAACGCCGCGUGGGUGAAGAAGGCCUUCGGGUCGUAAAGCCCUGUCAGGUGGGAAGAAUGUCUUGGGGAUGAAUAAGCUUCAAGAGUGACGGUACCACCAGAGGAAGCACCGGCUAACUCCGUGCCAGCAGCCGCCGUAAAAC
rnacentral:rRNA from 1 species